rnacentral:rRNA from 1 species
UACGUAGGGUGCGAGCGUUUAAUCGGAAUUACUGGGCGUAAAGUGUGCGCAGGCGGCCGCGCAAGUCGAGUGUGAAAGCCCCGAGCUUAACUUGGGAAUUGCGCUCGAAACUACGUGGCUGGAGUGUGGCAGAGGAAGGUGGAAUUCCAGGUGUAGCGGUGAAAUGCGUAGAGAUCUGGAGGAACACCGAUGGCGAAGGCAGCCUUCUGGGCCAACACUGACGCUCAUGCACGAAAGCGUGGGGGAGCAAACAGG